GACGCGAUGGCCGAGUGGUUAAGGCGAUUGACUCGAAUCCCGAUAUCAAUUUCCCUCUGGGAGCGUAGGUUCAAGUCCUACUCGCGUCG
rfam:Exidia glandulosa HHB12029 unplaced genomic scaffold EXIGLscaffold_128, whole genome shotgun sequence.